AUUGAACGCUGGCGGCAUGCCUUACACAUGCAAGUCGAACGGUAACAGGUCUUCGGAUGCUGACGAGUGGCGAACGGGUGAGUAAUACAUCGGAACGUGCCCGAUCGUGGGGGAUAACGAAGCGAAAGCUUUGCUAAUACCGCAUAAGAUCUAUGGAUGAAAGCAGGGGACCGCAAGGCCUUGCGCGAACGGAGCGGCCGAUGGCAGAUUAGGUAGUUGGUGGGAUAAAAGCUUACCAAGCCGACGAUCUGUAGCUGGUCUGAGAGGACGACCAGCCACACUGGGACUGAGACACGGCCCAGACUCCUACGGGAGGCAGCAGUGGGAAUUUUGGACAAUGGGCGAAAGCCUGAUCCAGCCAUGCCGCGUGCAGGAUGAAGGCCUUCGGGUUGUAAACUGCUUUUGUACGGAACGAAAAGACUCUUUCUAAUAAAGAGGGUCCAUGACGGUACCGUAAGAAUAAGCACCGGCUAACUACGUGCCAGCCGCCGCCGUAAGAC
rnacentral:rRNA from 1 species